UCUAGACUUCCAGUCGCUUCUUCUCUCUCUCUCGCUUCGAAGUGUAGACUAGCGACAUCGACCGUAGACCGACGACCGACGACUUUGAACUUGGAACGGCGGGUGGUAGUGGCUACUGUCUCUCCUUCUCGUCCAACAGAUCGAAGCCUGCGACGAUGUUGGUCGGAGUUGCAGCGGCGGCGAGGUAGCUGCAGUGACAGCGGAUCUGGAGAUCGAACAUCAGCAAUGGUAGCAAGCUGGUGGCGAGGGUGCUGGUUCGGAGCUUCGGCGGCGGCAGUAGCAGGUUCCGGCGAUAGCAGGUGUGCGGAGCAGUCUCAUGUUGAUGGUUUUCAUUUUCAUUCAAUUCCAUCAAUGUUUUAUACACACAACGGAUUUGUAUCAUUUACUGGAUUUGCAAUACUACCAAAAUCAGCCAAAAAUGCCACUUUCAUACUUUUUAUGUAAUUGCAUUUUGUAUUUUACAAUAUUGUAUUUUGAUGAUAUAUAAUUGUAUUAAAGUUUGAUUAAAUUAUUGUGUUACUA